GGAGUCUAGCAUGUGCGCGAGUCAUUGGGACACGACUAAACCUAAAGGCGCAAUGAAAGUGAAGGUCCGCCUCGCGCGGACCGAGGGAAGAUGGGCGUCCCGCUUUACCGCGGUCGUCUCGCAUUCCCGGGGCGUCUCGUUCUCAUCGCGAGAAGAGGCGCACCAAGAGCGUACACGCUGGGACCCGAAAGAUGGUGAACUAUGCCUGGUCAGGACGAAGUCAGGGGAAACCCUGAUGGAGGUCCGUAGCGAUUCUGACGUGCAAAUCGAUCGUCGGAACUGGGUAUAGGGGCGAAAGACUAAUCGAACCAUCUAGUAGCUGGUUCCCUCCGAAGUUUCCCUCAGGAUAGCUGGCGCUCGUCGCCAACGAGUCUCAUCCGGUAAAGCGAAUGAUUAGAGGCAUUGGGGCCGAAACGGCCUCAACCUAUUCUCAAACUUUAAAUGGGUGAGAUCUCCGGCUUGCUCGAACCGAUGAAGCCGCGAGACACGGAUCAGAGUGCCAAGUGGGCCAUUUUUGGUAAGCAGAACUGGCGCUGUGGGAUGAACCAAACGCCGAGUUAAAGCGCCUAAAUCGACGCUUAUGGGAUACCAUGAAAGGCGUUGGUAACUUAAGACAGCAGGACGGUGGCCAUGGAAGUC
rnacentral:rRNA from 1 species